UGCAGAUAAUAACCAAUUUCACCGUCUUACAAACGCGUCCAUUCAUCCAGCCACCGGGGGCGCUGUUACAAAAGUACUGGCUCUGCCUGGCUUGAGCGGACCUGUCUGGAUUUUACAUCUCUAAACUUGAUGAGAAGUUGAUAUAUAGCGUUACAAAUUCAGCGAUGAAUCUUCACCUUCAAGCAUCUGGAAAUGUUUCUUUGGAUGAAUCAGACUGGAGCAGCUGCGGGAAUAUUCUGAGGUUUCCCAUCAAACCAGAAAGCAGCGACUCUCAGGUGUGACCUUAAAAUACAUCCACAGGGAGAAAAGUCUGUGCGUCUUUCAGUUUUGUGUCUGUAAACUUCCUGCCUCGUCCGUAGAUGGAUACGCCGAUACCACUGAAGCUCACCGCUGUAGACAAAGACACAUUUCAGACACAUGAUGUCAUUGCUUAUGUCUCAUAAUAGCUUUAUGCUAACUGACUGCCCCACGGAGAGGCGGACCUGAUCAGGGACGUGAAGCGCAACAACACAAGCAGCUGCAGUAAAAGUCCACUCAACAAAGGCGCACAGCAACGUUUACUAAAUAUUGCCAACAAUUUCUGUACAAACUGCUGGUUUUAUUUUAAUAAUCAGCGUUUUAAGCCCAACUAUAGUUUAUUUUAAUUUUCUUGCUAACUGCAACUCCAGAACGACUCACUUUCUUAUUUCAAAAUAAAAGUCCUAAAGAUGCGG